UACGUAGGGGGCAAGCGUUGUCCGGAUUUAUUGGGCGUAAAGAGCGUGUAGGCGGCUAGGUAGGUCCGUUGUGAAAACUCGAGGCUCAACCUCGAGACGCCGGUGGAAACCAUCUAGCUAGAGUCCGGAAGAGGAGAGUGGAAUUCCUGGUGUAGCGGUGAAAUGCGCAGAUAUCAGGAAGAACACCCGUGGCGAAAGCGGCUCUCUGGGACGGUACUGACGCUGAGACGCGAAAGCGUGGGGAGCGAACAGG
rnacentral:rRNA from 1 species